rnacentral:misc_RNA from 1 species
GUUUAUCCCUGUUGCAAAGAACCCAUUUAUAUUUUACUUCUUUUAUAUAUGAAGUUGAAAUUUUGAGUUUCCUUGCUUUCUUGAGUGUUAAACAUGAUUUAUGGGAGAAAUUAAGGUGAAUCGGUUAAGACUUUAGAUUGCUUCCUUGUUGUUUUAGAAUGUGUGUAUGUGUAGAAACAUUUUCUGGGUAAUUUUUCAUAUGGUUAAUUCCUCAAAGUUCUUGAUUUGAUCCGAAGGAUUGCAGAAAUGAUGCUGAGAUCUUACUUCUGUAAAAGUCUGAUUCUCAACUUUAGUUGGUGCUUAUAAAAUUCUUGUCUUUGUGUUUAUGACGGUCGUGGCUUAGUUUUACGGUAAGGCAAUAUGACAGCAAUAUAUUAUAGGCAAUUCUGUUCAGAUGAAAAGAGUUUUCAGGUUUCCCGUUAAAUGAUCGGAAAGUUUAUCGGAAAGUUUAAAGGAAUUAGCAAGUGCUUUCAAACUUUGAAGUGGUUUUUUAAAGCCAAAAUGAUAUGCUUCUCUUGAACAUUGGACCUUAUGAACAGGUAUUGAUUUAGUUGACACUUAAUAGGGGGUUUCAGUGGUAAAUUUAUGAGAAGAAAGCAAAGAUAAAUGUGUAACAAGGAAGUCCUAUACUUUGCUCUGCAUUGGAAAAGUGGAAAUAGAAUGGAAUUUUCACCGUAUACGAAAUGCUUUUAGGAAAAAUAAAAUGGAGAAGGGCCAUUCUGAAGAAAUAUCAUGAAAAAGGACUUCAGAAUUAGGAUAGUGUACUAGGGUGAUGCCCAUCCCUAUAAUUUUAUAAUGUGUGAAGACCAUUGAUGGUUUGAAAGUCAGAUAUUUUGGGAGAACAUUUUCAAGGGAUUUUCUAUCCUACAUGAGUUGGCUUAAUUGCUUCGCUAUAAAUUAUUGUUCUUUCAUUAAUGUGACCUUUAUUGGGAAUGUGAUAUUCAUGAAGAAUAGGCAUGUAGAGACUUGGCUUCCAUUAGUGCCUUUCUUCGCUGUCUUUACCGAGCCUACAUAAACAGCUAUUAUGAGAAGUCUACGAAGGAGAGAGAGGAGGAGACUUUCAUUGCAAAGGAAUUUGCAAGUCUGAAGCCCCUUUGAAGGUUGCAUUCUCUUUGUGGUCUGAUUGCACAUGAACUUUGGAACUUAAGGCGGAAAGGAUAGGAAUAAAGGAAAUACUAAUAUCUGUAAAUUUAAACCUGUAAGUUGCUCCAGAAACACUGUUACAAAAGUGAGAUAAGUUAGUAUGUGUUGGGAAUACUUGUCCCUUGUUGAGAAAAUACAAAGAUGAAAGAGUAAAUAUAAGUGGUUGGGUUGAAACCUUAACUUGGCUAGUCAUUUUAAUGUGU